UUAGAAAAGGGACAUAAGAGAAAAAUAGGGGAAAGAAAAGGGAAGGAACCCUGAAAACUCUUCUUUUUCUACACAAGGAACACAGCCGCAAGACCCCUGGAGGACCUUCUUCUUCACGGCCGACUCCCUUUCUUUCUCUCUCUCUCACAGCCAAACAACCACCCAAAGAACCCCACCCCCAGUCGUGACCUUCUUUUUCAACCAAGGAACACCCUUAAUAGAUACCAAAAACCCUAGACCCUUAAAAACAAGUCGCCGCUGCCAUCUCCGGCGAGACCUCCAUCUCCGCCGCAUCUUCCUCAUCUCUUCAAAUCCGGCCACCACCAACAACCUUUCUCAUCCACACCUAGCAGCGGAACUCAACAGAACCAUCGUUGCUUCUUCUUCUUUCCCAUUCUCAGCAGCCGCACAACCUAACAGGAGGAGAGUCAGUCCAUGAAACUCUAUUAAAAUAACCUCCUGAAACUCUAUGAAAAUCUACUAUAGAGCAGCCCCAAAAAUACUAAAACAGAUCCAACAUCAGUCUCGAGCAAAGAGGUUCGAACUGGUUGAGGUUCGUCGAAGUCGCCGGCGCGGUUCACUUUUCUAGUCAGCGCAAGUCUUCCGGAUUACGUUUGAGCGUACACGGCCUUUUUGUGAGUCACCCGUGUUUAGGGGGUGGGAGCAUGGAGUGGGCGGACAGCUAGAGCAGCCGCCAUCGACCACAUGCCGCCCCGAAUUGCCUUGUCUAGUGAACCCCAAACUUAGGUCAGCCUUUAGGUCAUGCUUAUUUGUAUCAUGCUUAUUUGCAUCAUGUCAUUUACACUUAGCAGGGCUCGGUCCCAGGCACUGUGUUCCUUUAUAUGAGGCCUAUUCAAAUUUUGUCAAAACGGGCCCGUGGCCCAAAAAGACAUUCAAUCAUCCCUGUGCGAUACAUGUUGCAUCUUUGAGGGUAGAUAGGUCAUUUGGCGGACUGAUGUUUGGGAAAGAGGGUGAAAUAUAAAAUGAAGCAAGUAGGGUCCAGUUAUGAUUUUCUUUCACAACUUUUUCAAGAAAAAGACCCAAAAAA